GCGCAGUGUCUCCAACAUGGUGAUUAUCGAUGUGAAAAUGCUGUCGGGAUUCAUCCCUGUCAAGUCCUCAGUGAGGAAGCUGGCACACCACCAAGUUAUUGAGCGUACGGAGUUCAGUACCAACCAUGUCUUAGUGUAUGUGGAAAAGCUGAGCAACGUGACCUUGAGCUUCUCCUUCACGGUGGAGCAGGACAUCCCUGUGCAGGGCCUGAAGCCAGCUCAGGUGAAGGUGUACGA
rnacentral:misc_RNA from 1 species